rnacentral:rRNA from 1 species
GACGAACGCGGCGGCGUGCUUAACACAUGCAAGUCGAACGAAGAGCGAUGGAAGCUUGCUUCUAUCAAUUUAGUGGCGAACGGGUGAGUAACGCGUAAUCAACCUGCCCUUCAGAGGGGGACAACAGUUGGAAACGACUGCUAAUACCGCAUACGAUCUAAUCUGGCAUCGAGGAUAGAUGAAAGGUGGCCUCUACAUGUAAGCUAUCACUGAAGGAGGGGAUUGCGUCUGAUUAGCUAGUUGGAGGGGUAACGGCCCACCAAGGCGAUGAUCAGUAGCCGGUCUGAGAGGAUGAACGGCCACAUUGGGACUGAGACACGGCCCAGACUCCUACGGGAGGCAGCAGUGGGGAAUCUUCCGCAAUGGACGAAAGUCUGACGGAGCAACGCCGCGUGAGUGAUGACGGCCUUCGGGUUGUAAAGCUCUGUUAAUCGGGACGAAAGGCCUUCUUGCGAAUAGUGAGAAAGGA